UUUUCUAUAAUGGUGCUUUAGCAAUAAUGAUGGAGGUGCAGGCAUUUCCUGAGGAUUAAUGACCAGCUGGGAGGAACCAGUGGCCCUUGGCUCUGCCUCCCAGCCAGCCAUUAAUUCUAAGGAAAUGUCUUUUGCUGAGGUCGUUAUUGCUAUUAUAAGCUUAAAAUGGAAAA
ensembl:miRNA